GGACAUUCCAAGUGAUGCAACACUUUUGGUGCCAUGUAAUAUAGGCUUCCAUUGGAUUCUGACAGUUAUCAACAUCACUAAGGACUUAGUUUAUGUGUGGGACCCUCUUAAUCAUCGCAUUCGCGAUGAUGAUUGGAAGCGUGUUGUAGAAAUGCUCCUCGUCAACCGGAUAGUAACCAAUGCGGUUUCUUUGUCAUGGCGUACAUGAAAACUUUAAUUGAGAAUAUGCCAG